rnacentral:rRNA from 1 species
GAUGAACGCUGGCGGCGUGCCUAACACAUGCAAGUCGAGCGGACCAAUGUUCAUUUCAGCUUUGCUGAUUUGAGCAACGGUUAGCGGCGGACGGGUGAGUAACGCGUGGGCAACCUGCCCUGUGCAGGGGGAUAACACAGCGAAAGCUGUGCUAAUACCCCAUAAGACUACGCUAUCGCAUGAUAGAGUAGUCAAAGCUUUAGCGGCACAGGAUGGGCCCGCGUCUGAUUAGCUAGUUGGUGGGGUAACGGCCUACCAAGGCGACGAUCAGUAGCCGACCUGAGAGGGUGAUCGGCCACACUGGAACUGAGACACGGUCCAGACUCCUACGGGAGGCAGCAGUGGGGAAUAUUGCACAAUGGGGGAAACCCUGAUGCAGCAACGCCGCGUGAGCGAAGAAGGCCUUCGGGUCGUAAAGCUCUGUCCUAAGGGAAGAAGUAUGACGGUACCUUAGGAGGAAGCCCCGGCUAACUACGUGCCAGCAGCCGCGGUAAUACGUAGGGGGCGAGCGUUAUCCGGAAUCACUGGGCGUAAAGGGUGCGUAGGCGGCCGAGUAAGCCAGAGGUGAAAGGCUACGGCUUAACCGUAGUAAGCCUUUGGAACUACUUGGCUUGAGUGCAGGAGAGGAGAGUGGAAUUCCUAGUGUAGCGGUGAAAUGCGUAGAUAUUAGGAGGAACACCAGUGGCGAAGGCGACUCUCUGGACUGUAACUGACGCUGAGGCACGAAAGCGUGGGGAGCAAACAGGAUUAGAUACCCUGGUAGUCCACGCCGUAAACGAUGAGUGCUAGGUGUCGGGGGUUCACACCCUCGGUGCCGGAGUUAACGCAAUAAGCACUCCGCCUGGGGAGU